UACAUCAUGGUUCAGGUGCUUUUCCAAAGA
rnacentral:piRNA from 1 species